CGCCGCGCCCCUUGCGAAGAGCGCUGCGCCUCGUGAGCGAGAUUGUAGUAUCUUUGCUUUUCGAACGGGGCCCUUUUUCCAACUUCCAAAUCAUCAUCUUCAUCUACGAAUUCUACGUCAUUCGUCUCGUCAUAUCUCCCUUUGUCAUAUUUCUUUCCCACUUAUUUUACGAUCAACACGAAUUUUGGCGACAGUAUUUUUGUUCUUUGUUUCUUUGCUUUGUUUGUUUUGUUUUUUUCGUUUCAUAUCAUCGGAUAAAAAAAGAAAAAUUCUAAAUUUGGAUUGGACUGGACUGGUUUCGUUGGAAUCGAACUGGGCUGGUACACACAGCACGUACACGUGCUUUGGAAAAACAUUUUAAUCGGAUCCAUAUCCAUGGUCUAAUAUCAGUAGUGAAUUAUUUGUCUCUCAAGCACGUGGAAAAAACUGAUAGAUGUUAAAAGUUUGUGUAUAGUGUAUUCGGACUGAGUAAGUAAGUUUCGUGCUCGGUAUCGAUUACAUUCGUAGGAUUGUUAAAUUGUUGGGAUAACUGGUAAUCGAGUUAGAGUUCGUAAGGAUAAACAGAAGUGUUCGAGGAAUCUAAUUAGUAUAAUAAUAUUUCUCAAGUGGAAAGGGAUAUGAUUUUGUUGGUGGGUCAGUUGAGAACGUGUCUAUUAAAAAGAACUUGAGAUAGAAACAAAUACGAAGAGAAUAAAAAAAAAAAAAGACUAAAUACUUGAUAUUUCGAAAUUGAUUUUAUCAACCAGGUGGACCAAGUAAGUGAAGGACAAAAGGAGAAGUGGAAGAGGAAGGAAGAAGAAAGAAAGAAGGAAGGAAGGAAGGAACGAUGUGAAAGAUCGAAAGCACGAGUGAGAAAGAAGAAAGAGUGUAACGGAGGAAAGGAAGGGGGGUGGUUGGAGAACGAGAAGAGGGCGGUAACGCGCGCGCAAAAGAGACGCACCUUUAUGAAAGUUCGACGAUAGACCAACAACAAUUCGUUUUACGAAAAUCCGUACCGACGACAAAAGUGAACUCCUCCCCUUUCUCCUCUUCCUCUUCCUCCUACUACUCCUCCUACUCGGUAACAAACAUUUUCUAUAGCACGAAAGCUGAUGCUCUAUCAUCGAGAAAUUUUCCAAAUAUAUUGGUGAAGAAAUCUGUCUUUUACCGUGUGAUGGACGAAGUGGAAUCCGACAGCGAAUCGACAACGCUGGUACCUUAAGAGAGAAAGAGAGAGACCAUCCAUUAAAGAUAUAUCGACGAGAUAAAAGUCGUUUAGAAAGAAAGAUUAUUCAAGAUGACACGACGAAAAGGAAAACGAGUUGCGAACAUUCCUUAAGAUAAGCUGCUAUAUCGGAAGAGGGUGACAUCGUUCUGGCCAUCGACGACAAUGUGCCAUGACAACCCAGACGACGACAACGACGACGACAACGUCCUUCUCGUCCAUUGAUUAAUGUCCACUUUUUGAGGUUCGGGAAAAAAAACAUUAAAAGAAAAAAAAAA
rnacentral:misc_RNA from 1 species